UCUUUGAAGGUGUUACCUAGUUCACUGAUGUCAUCUAUGAACAGAUUUUCUUACCCUACACUCUGAAAUUUGGACCAUGGCCAGAAGUUUGCUUAUCCUUUUUGUAAUUGAGAUGCUUGAAUCCCUGUCAAUUGACCAGCUUAUGAAAGUGGAACAAACGUUUCUUUUAAACCUUUCCAGCCAUAUUGCAGAAUCAGAAUACUUAUGGGAUUGGGGGGGGGAAGCCCAACCCUAGCUUUGCCAGCAGAAAACUGAAAGGUAAAACAUAAACCCAAAAGUGUGGAAUUCAACAGAACUUAAAAUAAUACUGUUACAUGUUUUGUUUGCCUUUCCAGAGAGAGAGAUAUUCCUUGCUCGUGCAAAGAAAGGCAAAGAUUUUUUUCCCCAGCUCUAGCAGUGGCACCUUCUGCUGUCAGAAUUGGUGGCUUAGAUUCUCAAGAUACUUCAGGCUUCAAUAUUUAUGCUCCUUAAUUGAGGGUACAAGGCUGAUCUGCUUGCUUAUGUGAUGCUGGGUGUAGUAGCUGAGCUUCAUAUACUGGCUCCUGGUAGCAAAGAUGAAGCUGCUGGGCGUGAGUGCAAGAAGGUGAAGGAGCGUGGAGGAGCAGUGGCUCUCGUGGCCUUGUUGACAUCCUGGGAAAUGAGAUUCCUGAGCGUGAAAGAGCCCAGCAGGCAAAUACCCACUCCCCAAAGUGUGCUGUCUUCAGGUACUGGAGCAAAACUUGGCAGCUUCAGGAGUCCAUGCUUGGGUUCAUUUGUACUGGACAUCUGCCCAAACUCUCCCCAGUUUGUUCAGGCUGUUUCCAAGGCCCACAAGGCUUGGCCUGAAAAACUAUUA